GCACCGUGCGUGGUGUAGGGGUAAGCGUGAUUGGCUCUCACCCAGUCGGCCUGGGUUCGAUCCCAGACGGUCCC
rnacentral:tRNA from 1 species